GCUCCUGAUCCGGGAUCGCUGGCACAUGUGCCGGAAGUAAGGGAGUUCCAGAAGCGGCUGCUCCACUUUUCGCCCGAAAUAGGCGUUGCACUUGUCGCACACCACCCCAACGGGGAGCACAUGGU
rnacentral:rRNA from 1 species